rnacentral:rRNA from 1 species
GUGGGGAAUCUUAGACAAUGGGGGAAACCCUGAUCUAGCCAUGCCGCGUGAUCGAUGAAGGCCUUAGGGUUGUAAAGAUCUUUCAGGUGGGAAGAUAAUGACUGUACCACCAGAAGAAGCCCCGGCUAACUCCGUGCCAGCAGCCGCGGUAAUACGGAGGGGGCUAGCGUUGUUCGGAAUUACUGGGCGUAAAGCGCACGUAGUCGGAUUGGAAAGUUGGGGGUGAAAUCCCGGGGCUCAACCCCGGAACUGCCUUCAAAACUCCCAGUCUUGAGUUCGAGAGAGGUGAGUGGAAUUCCGAGUGUAGAGGUGAAAUUCGUAGAUAUUCGGAGGAACACCAGUGGCGAAGGCGGCUCACUGGCUCGAUACUGACGCUGAGGUGCGAAAGCGUGGGGAGCAAACAGGAUUAGAAACCCCUGUAGUCC